rnacentral:misc_RNA from 1 species
UUAACUAUUAUAUAGUACUCAGACGACAAUAUUAAGAAUGUUGAGGUCCUCUGGCGAGCACGGACCAGCGAUAAAGCCAGCAGUCAUUGGACAGGCCCGCCAAAGCAACAGAGGUAUUGUAAACAAAGGGUGGGAGAUAUACCCUAAAAUGGGCACAGUCUCUGUAAUGAUCCUUCCGCAGGUUCACCUACGGAACACUAACUCUCAACUCUUUACAGGAGAAGGCCGGUCAUAUCUAAAUCCAAUGGUGACAGCUGAGUGGCUGCCCCUCUAGGACCACCUUUGUCUGAUCUGUGGACUGCAAUAGCAGCUGCUUAUUACCACUCGAGGUAUCCAAGCAUAGUAAAGGUGUUGCCUAUAACAAUAGACUGGAGGUCCAAGGCUUCAGAUGGUGGCACUCUGGUAGAAA